CGUCACUUCCCUUCACCCCAAAAAGACUGCUACUACACAUCACUGCACACUCACAAUCAUACUAACAGCACGUUACUAACAAUGGAGCCACCUCCUCCUUCUCCUCCUCUUCCCCGUUUGCCAAACACCGCCGAUCUCACGCCCCAACACUUAGCGUUUCUGGAUCAACACUUCCGAACCAAACGCGACCUAUCUCGCGAAUCUUUUAAUCUCCCUCUCUCCUCCUCGCUCUCUCAACUGUGCUCCGAACUCGAGUCCCGGCUCCUCCAACACCUCACGAAACGCACCGUUUCGUGGAUCUCUCGCUCCUUCAGCGCCAAAUCCUCGCUCCAGCGUCUCUCCCUCGCACUUCAAAAUCUCUCCCUCCGCACUUCUCCACGUAUAAAAAAGGGGAUUGGUUCGAAGAGGUUUCAGUGGGUGUUGAGUGAGGGGAUUCCUCGAUUGGCGAGCGAAAUGAACCGAAUUGAGUCUCUUCGGUGUUAUGUUGUUUACCUUAUUGUCUCAGAAACUGCUGUACAGUUGGAAGCUCUGGUUGGGGAUCUUGAAGAUGCUGCUCUCUUUGUCAUUGCUCGCCACACAGGGAAUAUGUUUUCAUUGAAGCUCUCGAUUUCAUCAAACUCUGAAGAUGCUGCAUCAAAACAUGACAAUUUGCUUCAGGCCAUAAAAGCCAUGAGUGAUAUUGAAGAAGUAUUGGUUGGUGUUGUGAAGUUCCAUCCUCAGUGGCAUUGUCUCCUGAAGUCUGUUGACACUAGAGUAGAUAAAAUUUUAUCUGUUCUCAGGCCACAAGCUUUUGCAGAUCAUCGGGCUUUUCUCGUUUCUCUUGGGUGGCCACCAAAACUGCUUCCAUCAAAAAAUGGAAGCGAUCAUAUCACAAACCUACCUAAUCCAUUAGUUCUUAUGCAAGAAGAUAAGAGAAGAAAUUACUCUCAAAGUUUUAUAGCUCUUUGUGCUUUGCAGCAUCUGCAAAAUAGAAGGGAAGAAAGACAGCUUAAUAGUAGUCUUAUAAAAAGAGACACGCAGAAUAUACAGCUUUGGGCCAUUGAUGAAUUAGUGUCUCCUAUUGCGUCAAGGAUGGAAUACCAUUUCACCAAAUGGUCUGAGCAGCCAGAAUAUAUGUUUGCUUUGGCAUAUAAAGUUAUCAGAGAUUUUAUUACAGGAAUAGAUGAUGUCUUGCAGCCACUUAUUGACAAGGCCAGGCUUAUCGGUUGUAGUGCAAAGGAGGCAUGGGUCUCUGCAAUGGUCCAAAUGCUUUCUGUCUUUCUGGAAAAGAAAGUUUUUUUGUUGCUCACUGAAAGAUACAAAGUAAAGCAUUUGAAGCCUGAUGUAUCAUCUUCAUGGCUUCACCUUGUGGACCUUAUCAUUGCAUUUGACAAAAAGAUGCAAUCCCUUCUCAAUCUGGAUACUUGUUUUUUGGCAGUGUCUGGAAGUUUUGAAGAGCUCUCAAGAGGCAUGUCAGUUCUAUCAAUGUUUUGUAAUAGGCCUGAUUGGCUGAAGAUCUGGGCAAAAAUAGAGUUCAAAAAUGCCUGGAAGAAACUUAAAUCCGAACUGAUAGAGGAGAAAGCAUGGAUGACUUCUAAGAAAUGCAUAUCUGGGAUUGACACUGAGCAAGAGUAUCUGCUAUUGACUGUCGAAGAUCACAAAGCUCCACCUAUUGCAGAGUUUUUUCUUAAAAUUAUCUGGGAGAUGAUUGAGCGCUGCCAAACUAUGCCAUCCAGUUUAUUAAGUGCACAAUUUAUUAGAUUUACUGCAGGAAGAUUCCUCUGGUAUUUCUUUAAGCAAUUACUUUUUCGGUUCAAGGCAACUGAAUUAUGUCCGGAUAGUUCUGAUGAUGUUGCCAUAGUUAGAGUGUGUGGGUUAAUAAAUGCUGCCAGAUAUAUUUGGAUUAAAUUGCAAGAAUGGAGUGAUGCCGUGGAUUUUUUGGAGAUGAAAAUUGCUGAAAAUGAUUCUAGCAAGCCCAUACAAGAUGAUUCAAUGGAUAAUGACUGCUUUUUUGAGGAAGAAAUAAGAAGCUUGUCUGAAAUGGAAACCAACUGGCUUAUGGAAAUUAUUGCAGUUGUUCUUCGACAGUUUGAAGUGCUUUCUUGGAAAUAUGUUCAAAACAAUGAUAGUUUUGGGGAUGAACAAGUUUAUACAAAUCCAGUAGAGGAUGCUGAUCUAAUAGUCUCCAAUGAUUUUGUUGAAGCUUUAGAUUCUUUAAAACGUUGGCUUCACACUAUGAAGAUAAGUCUCAAUAAAAAGGAUUUUUUGGAUUUGUGGAGGAGCAUUGCUGAGGGGCUAGAUCAUUACAUUUCAUGGAGCAUUGUCAGAAGUGAGAAUUGGUUCUUUAAGAUGGGCGUCACUCAAUUUGAAGCUGACAUGCAAGCACUAAUAUUUAUUUUUCAGCCUUAUUGUGCUCGCCCACAAGCAUUUUUUCCUUGUAUUAAUGAGAUUCUUAAGCUUUUGAAACUGAAAAAAGAAGAGGAAAAGCUAAUGCAAGCAUUUUUGUCCAGGAAUGAAAAUGGAUCAGAGUGUUUGCAUCUUUAUGGAAUUUCUCAUCUAUCAGUUAAUCAAAUUCUUCAAGUUCUUAGAUACAAAAUUUGGGCUUGUUGAUUUAUACAAUAAAGUGGUAUUAGCCCUUGGGCAAGGAAAAUAAAUUUGCUUAUAGUAUACAUAAAAUAUUGAAAAAUGAUAAUGCACAUAUUCCAUGCGUAAUUGGAUAAGCACAUGAAACAUUGAAACCUAGAGACUCAAAGACCGGUGAAUGUUGGGAUAUGAGAAGUUGAGAAUUAUGAUGCAGAGGGGCAAUUCACAAUUGCUAUUCUGCAGUGAGCUCUCCCCCCUCUUCCACUGUUUCUUGCUUUGUCCGGGAGCAGUGAGAUAUCAACAUGUAAAGUUAUCGACAUUUCAGAAACACCAUUAUUUAUUGAAAAAAAAAAUCAUCGUGUCUCUGAUCUCCAUAAAUAAAACAGAGCUCUGAAAUCACUGAAUGUGCUAUGGACUUCUUGUUUCUUCUUAGCUAAAUAAGGCUCUUGACAAAGCAAGGAUUUUUUUUAGCUUUGCAGCACUCCCAUAAUGUCAUUAGCUCAAAGGAAAACAGUUGUAGUGAGAAAAUUGUAUUUAACGGCAAAAUCAAUUACCAGCUGCAAAAAAUGUGAACCAAACAAACUGAAAAUCAAUUACCAGCUGCAAAAUCUCAGCUCUUAGUUUUUGAAUACGGGAUGGAUUCAGCAGAAAAUUCAAAAGAUGUCGAACAAAAACUUCUUGAUUGACCAAGGAAAUGAAGUAUGAAUAUGUUGGUGAGUCAAGAGGUUGCUCAGUUUGAGACAUUGUUUCAAAAUUCAAACAAUUUGUUUUUUUAUUAUCAUGUUUUCUUUUCUUUGUAUAACUCUUUAGUCAGUUCAUGCUAGAAUGUUCCUUGGCACGACGGUAAGGUUGCUAUUUUAUGACCUGGAAGUCAUGGGUUCAGAUAUUAGAAUAGCCUCUUUGCUUGUGACAA